AUAUAUAUCAAUGUGUAACAUAAGACAUCGAAUAUCAUCUCGAAAUGUAUAUGUAUGCAUUUUUUUUUACCACUCUUUGUACCUGUAGACAACUAUACAAUGAGAGUGUAUUUUUUUUAUUUUUCAUCCAUACCUAAAUAUAAUGCACUCUAGUAACUUUUUGAAAAUAUUUUGGGAAAAAUAUGCGCGUUAAUUUCGAGAAAUUACGGUAUAUAGCGUUUCUUAACAGUCAAAAGACACUUUCCACUCAUCAGAUAAAAAUAACGGCAAGGUGAGUGAGCAGGGAAGAAGCUCGGGUGGCAGAUGCUGGCAUCGGUGAUGUUUUGGACUGGAAUACCAAAAAGUCACGUUGGCUGACGAGAGCCGAGCUGGAGGUACACGGAAACAGAAGGAUGGUCGGUUGUUGAACUCGCUGCAUGCAAAGGUGUUUUCUCCCUGCCUUUCCUACUUUAAAAAACAAGACAUCACAUACGGUGCUUCAGUGAGUGUAUUGAGUGAAUGUGAACCUUAGGGAUGGAUCAUUAACAGAAUGAGGAAGGCUCAACGGCACUAAAUGGAUCAGCACUAACAAGCUAGUAUGUGAGUUACCUCAAAAUUUUGGCUCUCUUGUCUUAAACUAAAGAAACGGUCUAAAAAUGAGUGGGAAAGCUGGACCAAGUCAGAAGACAUAAAACUACCACUUUCAUACCGGAUGGGAGGAGUUAUUUUUCACAAUGACAUUUUUGGAAUGCGUAUGCCUCACCUCUCAGUCUGCCAUUGGUUUACCAAAGAAAGGAAAUGUGGAGCUGCAUUUUAGGGCUGUGCAGCAAUGUCGGUGUAGGACUCGUUUCACUGUGGAUACUGACACUUUCUUGCCAGCUUCAUCCAGCAUCUUCAGAGGUUGAUUUGCACAUUUCCGGCCAAAACACGUUCAUCACUGGGACACAGAACCUGACUCGCUUCCUGAGCAAUGUGAUGUAACCCUGUUCCCGUGAUGUUUAUACUUAUGUAUAAUUGUUUGAACAGAUGUAUGUGACUACUUCAAGAAUUUUGAAAUUUCACCCAAAGAUGAACCAGACUUGUGUAGCGCCACGAUUGUUUUCAUAAUUUUCUGGCAGAUUUCCCUUUUUCCCCCCAUUAUUUAAAAAAGGAAGCAGAGUGAUUGAGGUAUGGCCUGUAAUACAUCCCCAGGGGUGUGCCGUCAAUCAACUCACAUGUUGUCAAUAAACCUAUCAGGAGCUUCCCAGUGUUCUUUAAAGACAUAGCAGUUUUUGUUUAUGCAAACUAUUGACCUAGAAGAACCUAAUAUGAAAUUCUCUCUUAUUAUUGUGGCAUUUUUACAAAAUUAAAUAAUUUUGGUCAUCCUGAAACAAUAGUGGUUUAGUCUAAUUUGACCUCAGACAGUAAGACAAAAAAUGAAAUGUUUUUGCAGUGUAUGUAAACAUCUGUUUCAACCUUACAUAAAUGAAAAAGCAAUUACAGAAAGUAACUUUAAAAAUGAGAAAAUAAUAUGAUUGCAUAAAAUAAACACCACGCGAUCAAACUUUUCUGCUGGCGAAAUGCUGAACUGACACUUGGAUUAAUGUGACUGUUGAGUGGGGUGGCAAACAAAAGUAUAGACAAUCCCCGACAGUGCCCCUGGCUACCAUAUCCUAAUACCUUUUAAUUUGUUGAUUACAUAAAGUAUCUACACUUAGUUACAUAUUCAUGCUGUCCCUUCACGUGUUGAGCUUUGACACAAACCCACACGGAGUACAUUCUGGCUUCGUCAGGUGUGUAAGAAACUUUGUAAGAACCGUCAUUGUUGUCCACCACUGUGCUUUCCACCAUACUGAAAGAAUAAGUACAAUUGGUUUUAAAAAAUUGCACAUACGGCAAAACCAUCAUGAACCACAAACAUUGCUUAAUCCAUGUAUUUCCGACUGCUUUUCAAGGUCGGGUUGUGGGGGCAGUAGCUUUAGCAGGGACACCCAGACUUCCCUCUCCCUAGCCACUUGAUUCAGCUCUUCUGGGGGCAUUCCGGGGCAUUCUCAGGCCAGCCAAGUGACGAAAUCUCUCCAGCAUGUCUUGGGCCGUCCCUGGGGUCUCCUCCCAGUGGGACGUGCCCGAAACACAUCACCAGGGAAGCAUCCAGGACAUAUUUGAAUCUGAUGCCCCAGCUACUUACUGGAUCCUCUCAGUGUGCAGGAGCAGCUCAACUCUGACCUCCCCCAGAUGAUCGAGCUUGUCACCCUAUCUCCAAGGAAGAGCCCGGAGACCCUGUAAAGGAAACUCAUUAGAUGCGGGUUUUUUUAGUCAUGACCACCAGCUCGUGAAAAUAGCUGAAGGCAGGAACGUAGAUUGAUCGGGAAAGUUCCUUUUUCACCACAGCAGACUGAUGCAAAGUCCGUAUUGCUGCAGACGCUACACGGAUCCACCUGUGGAUCUCCUGUUCCAUUAUUCCCUCAUUUGUGAAUAAGACCCAAAGUACUUGAACUCUUCCACUUGGGGCAGGAUCUUAUCCCUGAACUGGUGAGGGCACGCCCCCUUUUCUGACUGCGAACCGCUCCAGUGAUUUGGAGGUCACUGAAGCCAACAGAACCACGUCAUCUGCAAAGAGCAGAGAUGCAAUGCCGAGGCCACCAAAGUGGACCUCCUCCAUGCUUCGGUUGCACUUAAAGAUUCUGUCCCUUAAAUUUAUUAACAAAAUUGGAGAGAAAGUGCAGCCUUAGCAUAGUCCAACUCCAGAAACGAGUCAGACUUACUGACAGCCUUUUCCUACUGAGGACUAUUGUCUCAGAUUUGGAGGUGCUGAUUUUCAUCCCAGCCUUCACACCUGGCUGCGAUCCACUUCAGUGAGAGCUGGAGAUCAAAGCUGCACUGCAAGAUGGAAAAACUUCUCUCUAUUUGAUUCAUCCAUCCAUCCAUUUUCUUAACCACUUAUCCUCACAAAGGUCUUGGGCUGGAACCUAUCCCAGCUGUCAUCAGGCAAGAGGCGGGGUACACCAUUAACUAGUUGCCACCCAAUUGCAGGGCACAUCGAGACAAACAGCAGCACUCAGAAUCACACCUAGGGGCAAUUUAUAGAGUCCAAUUAAUGUUGCAUGUUUUUGGGAUGUGGGAGGAAACCCACGCAGACACGGGGAGAACAUGCAAACUCCACACAGGCAGAUCCAGGAUUGAACCUCAGAACUGUGAGGCCAACACUUUCCAGCUGCGCCACCGUGCUCCCUCUAUUUUAUUCAGUGUUGAUAAAAGUGACAUUUGCACAUGUGCUUGUUUGUCAUAAAGAAUCCAAGUACUUAACUUAAUGACUUAACCCAAUUCUAUAAAAUGAUAGAAAAUUGUCAAACCUUAUUUUCAAACAUGUACAGUUAAAGACAACAAAAUUUAACCCUGAGCAUUGUUGUUUCAUGGCACUGCAAAAAAUAAAAUGGAUAUUUUCUUUUAUCUGUCCAUCCAUCCAUCUUCUGAGCUGCUUAUCCUCACAAGGGUCGUGGGAGUGCUGGAGCCUUGGCCGUGGUCAGCCAGGAACUAGGAUACACCCUGAAUUGGUUGCCAGUGCACUUGCUGGGGUCCAGAUCCAUAAAAUAGAUCACGUCCACCAUUGGGUAGGCGCUCACCUCUCCUGCCGGCCCCUGAGGAUCAAAACGAAUACCAGUGCCAUCAUCGGGGAUGAGCGCCGCCAAAUGGUCAUCACAGCUGCUCUCCACCAGGCUGCUCAGCCUCCUCAACGUCACACUCUUUGCACUAAGGAUCUCAGCAUCUGAACCACAGAUGAGGUCUCAGUCGUACGUUGACUAGCGUCCUGAUGCGGUCUCUGUGACAGCCGAUGACUUCGUGGGCAGGGCAGCAGCGGUGCUCAGAGUGCAGCGAUGCGGCACAUUCCAGGCACACUGGCAGAUCACAGGGCUUGCAGAAGAGGUGCAACUCCUGGCCAGGAUGGAGGGCACACAGAACGGGGCAGCAGAGGCCACCCUGAGACUUGAGAUCCUCCAACCUCUGAAUGGGAAAACCAGCUGGUGCCAUACUCCUCUCCCAGGCGUUGCCGUGGAGACGAACGACACCAGAUAAGGAACGGAAAGUUACCAUCCCGGCCCAGGACCAGACUGGGGGGGGUGGGCAGCCACUUUUAUCAUGGACCCAUACAUAUAAAAACCUUGUGUUACUGGGCACCUUUUGUCUUCUUCUUUGGCUAUCCUGCCAGAAGAGACACGUCUCGUUUGCGGCAGAUACCUAGAAAAGACCUGGACGUCUGUACUGCACAUUCCUUUGUAAUAAAUCCAUCUGCUGUUAAGUUUUUCUAAUCAUUGGUCAUAUCUUCCUCGACUCAUGAACACACCUAGGGUCCAAUCCCUACACUACUGAUGAUUAUUAUUACAAAAAUAUAUAGAUCUGAGCAUAUCCAGUGAAUUAAAUAAUAAGGGAAAUGCAAAAAGGCAUGUAAAGCCAAGGCAACAGCCAAAAUCUGAUUAAACAGCAAUUCAUCCCCUAGUAAGUGCAAAUGAAUAUCGGGGUUCAGUCAUAAUUGAUGGAGUACAAAAUGAUCACACUCCUAAGGUGUGAGUCAAGACGCAUCUCAUGUUGGGAAAUAGCAAACGGGUGUUUCAAGACCAUCGUAAACUAACUGUUGCAAAACAACGAUGGCAUUGGUUACAGGUGCAUAUUUAAGCUUCUGAAUGUACCACUGAGCCCAGUUGGGUCCAUUAAUACGUAAAAAUAAAGCCAAUCAUACCACCAUAUAUUUGCCUUGAUCAGGUGGUCUUAGCAAGAUUUGUGACGUAGGAGUGCACAUAAUAAUCUGAAUGUUGUCAAAGAGCAUAGGACCACCUCUGGAAAUCUUAAAAAAAAGAACUGGAAUUAGCAAGAACUGUUGUCACAAGGAAAACAGUGAGUAAUGUACUCUGCCUCUCUUUGGUUUUGUGCCUGCCCCGGGAACGGUGGAGCAGCUCUACGCUCUCGGUAGGGUCCUCAAGGGUGCAUGGGAGUUUGCCCAACCAGUCCACAUGUGUUUUUUAGACUUGGAGAAGGCUUUCAACCAUGUUCCUCUGGGAAUCCUGUGGGAGUUGCUUCAAGCGUAUGAGGUUCCAAACCCCCUGAUAUGGACUGUUCGGUCCCUGUACGACUGAUGUUUGAGUUUUUUAUUUGCGGUGAAAGUUGUACUCCGCCAAGGCUUCCCUUUGUCACUGAUUCUGUUCAUACUUUUGCAGACAGAAUUUCUAGGCACAGAUGGGAGAAGAAGUCUGGGCUUCUCUGCUUAAACCGCUAACCCAACAACCUGACCUCGGAAAGGCAAAAGAGUGAAUGAAUGAAUGAAUGAGUUAAUUUUGUGGGAAAAAAUACAAAAUGAGUUCUUCCAAUUAGUGUUGGUUAGCUGUCUUUGAAUUGUAAUGUUUUUGUGAGAGAGCCCUUUGCACUGGAAAAAAAUAGUGUAUGGCUAUUCUUGAUUGCUUUAUAAUCAUUGCUGUUGAAGAGGGGAUGUAUUCUAGAUGCAUUUCCGCAUGAAAUAUAUGAAAAUACUCUGAUGCACCCUACUCCAAUAAAGAAAACAGACACAUGUACCUCCAUCCAUUCUUUUUCUGAGCAAUUUAUCCUCACAAGAAUCGCAGGAGUGCUAGAGCCUACCCCAGCUAUCAACAGGCAGGAAGCGAGGUACACCCUGAACUGGUUGCCAGCCAAUUGCAGGGCACAUGGAGACAGACAACAGUCGCACUCAAAAUCACACCUAUGGACAAUUUUGAAUCUCCACUCAAUGCAUGUUUUUGGGAUGUGGGAGGAAACCGGAGUGCCCGGAGAAAAGGUAUGGGGAGAACAUGCAAACUCCACAUAGGUCGGCUGAGAUUGAAUCCCAGUCUUCAGAAUUGUGAGGCCAACGCUUUACAGAUGUGUCACUGCAAAUGGACAUAUUUUGUCUAUAUUUAAAAUGGCAUUUUUGUCAUACAUCUGGACACAGUAUCAUAUAUGGCCCCCAGGUAUUGGUGAUGAAAAAUUAAGGCCCUCUCCAUCAUUGACGUUGCCAAUCUAUGAAAUAAAUCUUCCACCUGUUGUCAUUCAUACAACAAAAUAAUAGCUUUGUAUUAAACCAAGCAUGUAUGCUGUUACAGUUCUCUGUACAGUAUACUUCAUGGGAUUUUUGUUUGGUGAUGCCCGUAGGUUUUUCAAACACAAAAUAAAUAUGCCUUGGUUCAACAAAGCAUGGGAAAUACUGGUAAUGUAAACAAAUGUUCAACAAUGUUUUUUUUAAAUAACAAUGUAUUAAUAUAAUUUAGAUUUCAUUUAGAUUAGUGGGAGAGGUAUUAAUUUAACAAUACAUUAUAAAUUACCUUGAUUAUUAAAACUUGAAUUGUUGUAAACCUGUGCAGGUAUUAUUCAUCCAUCUAUCCAUCCAUUGUCUGACCGUUUAUCUUCACAAGGGUCACAGGAGUGCUGGAGCCUUUACCAACUAUCUUUGAAUAUGAAGCGAGGUACACCCCGAAGUGGCUGAGGGCCAAUCACAGGGCACGUCUCAACAAAUAACCAUUCACACUCACACUCACUCACAGCAACGUGGAAUUUAGAGUCUUCAAUAAGGGAGGAAAUCGAAUCGCCUGGAGAAAACCCACGCAGGCACGAGGAGAACAUGCAAACUUUGCACAUGCAAGGAAUUGGAACGCUGGUCCUCAGAACUGUGAGACAGGCCCUCUAAUCAGUCGCUCCACUGUGUCUGUGCAGAUACUCACAAUAUUUAAUGUACAUUUUGAUUAGUAGGGCGGCACAGUGGAUCAGCUGGUAAACCAUUGGCCUCACAGUUCUGAGGUCCCGGGUUCAAUCCUGGACCCGCCUGUGUGGAGUUUGCAUGUUCUCCCCGUGCCGGUGUGGGUUUCCUCCGGGCACUCCGGUUUACUCCCACAUCCCAAAAACAUUAACAUUAAUUAAUUGGAAACUCUAAAUUGUCCCUAGGUGUGAUUGUGAGUGCAGCUGUUUGUCUCUAUGUGUGCCCAGCGAUUGGCUGGCAACAAGUUCAGGGUGUACCCCGCCUCCUGCCCCUUGAGAGCUGGGAUAGGCUCCAGCACUCCCCGCGACCCUCGUGAGGAUAAGCGGUGAAGAAAACUGAUGAAUGGACGUUGAUUAGAAAUGAAUGUCAAUUUGUCGUACCAAUAGUAAUAGGAGUGGUAGAGGAAGAGUCUCCAAAUUUCAAGUGAAUUGUUCUAAUUUCCAGAUGGAUUUUGAACAGUAUAAUAAUUCUUGAAACUACAUUUGGGAAAGCAACACCAUCUUAACAGAUAUCGUAAUCGUAAAAGACAAUCUACUCUGUUCAUAAAGAGGCAGGAAAAAUACACAGAUUUACACCCAGAAGUUGCAGCUUUGUAGAAGUUACCCCUGAAGACAACAGCUGAAGAAGAAAGUAAAGGCAAAAUAAAUCGUGGAAGAGAAGAAGAGAAAUACCAGU